UACCAGCACCCCGAGUGGUCGGGACGAUUAUUGGGCCUAAAGCAUCCGUAGCCGGUCUUGCAAGUCUUCCGUUAAAUCCAGCUGCUUAACAGAUGGGCUGCGGAGGAUACUACAAGGCUAGGAGGCGGGAGAGGCAAGCGGUACUCAGCGGGUAGGGGUAAAAUCCUCUGAUCCAUUGAAGACCACCAGUGGCGAAGGCGGCUUGCCAGAACGCGCUCGACGGUGAGGGAUGAAAGCUGGGGGAGCAAACGGG
rnacentral:rRNA from 1 species